UGGAGUAACGAUGGUGUGGUGCUGGUGUAUAGAGCGACAGUUAGUUGCCAGGGAUCCAAGAAGUUUAUCGUCGUGAGUACUGCUGGCAAGUGGUUUACCAGUUAUCGUAAAGAAUUUUAAAGUGAAAAUUUUGAGAUAAAAGGUGGAGCACUCCGUUAUCUCCCCCUUCCCUUGGCGUAAAACAAAAUCUCCCGUCUCGUCGUCGCCGCCUCCGCUCCUUGCGCCAUCUCGCGGCUGAACAGGGGAGGGGCGCCGAUCUCCAUUGGCGAGCAGAGCAGGGCGCGGGAGGGGAGGGGAUCCUGAAAACACUUGGUUUCCCAAAUGAAGCACAUAUUCAAGAUAAUUGCUAUGCUGGUGGCAGUCUCAGCUAUUUGGAUUGCCCUUCUUGAAACCGCGACUGUUCCUCGAAGUUAUACUUGGUUGCUUCCCAUCUACUUGGUAGUGGCACUUGGAUGCUAUGGCCUUUUUAUGGUUGGAUUUGGGCUUAUGUUCUUCCCAACUUGCCCGCAAGAAGCUGUACUACUACAGCAGGAUAUCUUGGAGGCAAAGGAAUUCCUAUCAAAGAAAGGUGUUGAUGUUGGCUCUGAAUAAUGUCAAGAUCGAUGAUAGAUGACUUGAGGCUAGUUUGGGGACAACUUUGUGCUCCCUUAUAUGAGUUGUUUUGGGGGCUUUAUAGCUAGGUAUAUGUCACUUCGUAAUGAUCAUUUUGCUAACACAAUUUUUCAUGGUGAGUCCUUGUUACAUACUGAAUUUAAGACCUUUUUCUUUUAGGAAAUAUUUUUUAUGGAAAAUGAAAUAUGAUUGUGAAGUAGGAAUGGUCUGUUGACAAGUGCAUUACUGUUCAGGGUGUUUGUCUCCUCAUUUCUGGAUUUCCCUCUAGUGGUUAUGUAUCAAUUGUGCAGUGUAAUAUUACCUUGUCCCUGGCACAGUGCUGAAACCGACUGCCUGAAAUACUCUGUACAUCAGAUCGUCCAUAGAAAUUUCUCUGAAUCUUUUGCAUUACAACUUGUCAGGCAGGCACGAAGCCUUGACCAAUAUUACAAAACAAUAGUAAAAUCAGACAUGAUACACGUAUACUUUUAAAUUAUGCAGUAAACCUAUGCUAGUUCUUAACCCUAUCUUGCUUAUCUGACAGUAAAAAUAUCACACAUCAUCACAGUUCACACCAAACCUUGCCCCUAUGAACCAGCUAUCACACUGUACAUAGUAAAACAUUUUCAGUUACAGCACAAUUGUGUGCAGAUGCAGCAGACAGAAUCCUACCUACUACUACCUUGAGGUAGUAGCAACCAACGACGAGACCUCCUUAUUGGAGGCUGGUUCAUCAUCGUCUCCGACUCUCCGCCUCCUUGGAGCCCCUGCUUGCAAGAGUUCUCAGUGGUUUGUGGUCAGAAAUUGAUUUAUUUUGGUAUGAAUGAAGUAUGUAUCUUAUGUGCAUGUUCAGAAGCAAUGGCAGAUGAAGAAGGAAGGCUUGUAUGAGUAGAUGACAAGGCCAGCUGCCAUGCCAGCAAAAGCAACGAAGCAAAUCCAAUCAACCUGCAAAUGCUCAAAAUUUGAUUAAUAUCAAUUUCAAUUUUAAGAUUGAAGUAUUGGCAUGAGGUUAUGGAGGGAGGAAUUGAUGUUCAGAGACCUCAUGGUAAGCGAAGAUAAGGAUUAGAACAGCCCACAUGUCCGAGGUCAAAAGCGAGAGGUUGAGCUUCAGCAUUGUUGCCCCACAUAUCUGAAGCAUUCAGCCCACAUAUCUGAAGUUACAUACAACAUUCAGGAAUUUUAUGAAUUUGUGCACAAGAGGAUCAUGGUUAGUACCUUCAAUAUAAUCGGUAUUGUUGAGUUGAAGAAGAAUAUUGUUACCGCAAAAAAUCCGAUGAAAGGUAGAAUCUGAAGAAAAAAAAGAGAGAGAAGGUUCAUGAAUAAAAAUCAUGGCUAACUGAUCAUCUAUAAUAAUGCAUCCCCUUCAUGCUUAUUAGAUUUUUAGACAUAGAAUAAAAAAUAACCUAGAACUGAAACAUCAAUUUUACCAAUUAAAAA